AUUUUGUUUGUUUCAGGUCUGUACCACAGGGCGUCGCUAUGUUUGUUUUUCUGUCAGGUUUGGUGUUUGAUAAAUAGAUUCGUUUUCAUCCAAAGCUAGGUCUGUAUGACUUCAAAGGUUCAUGCGGCGUCGUCUCCUACACCGAGUUUCAUUGCCGGUGAAAGGCAACCAGUUAAAACGCGUGGCGAUGCUCAAUACUAUCAGGUUCAGCUUCAGCUUCAGCUUCAUGGCUGACCUUAGAUUGGUCAUUGAACGUGAAUAUGCUUCACUCGACAAAUGGCCUUGCCACAGCUAGAUCGCAAGUUCUAGGUGAAUAUCUCAUGUCUUUGAUUCAUUCAUCAUCCCAAUUGAGUUUUAAUUUAGUUCCUAUUUUUUUGGACUACUUAAGACACUGGCAUCUUUAUUGUUAUGGUAUGAUUCUAAUAACUGAUGUGCAACUGCCAUGGUUCGUAAUUGCUUUCGUAACUAUUUUAUUGUCAUACAUGUGUGCUCUCAAUAAAUAGAUAUUCAGGACUUGUGUGAAGAUUUAUGGUGAAAUUUGGUAUGGUUAAAAGAUCAAGAAAAUAUUCACCUGCCCAUAACUUUCCUCACUAUGCAUAUUGGUAGCUCUUUUUGAGCAUCUCUCUACCCAACAGCAUACUUUAAGGAAAUAUGCUUACGUGCACAGAUUUGUUGUACU